rnacentral:lncRNA from 1 species
AACUGGCCUGUGUAAGCGGAUGGGCUCGGCCUCAAGGACAGGGUGCUCGGCUGAAAAAAAAGCUAGCGGCGAUCACCGGUGCCAGGGCUCUCCAGAAACGGAGCCCAUCUAACCAAUGCCCAGCACACUCGCUCUGCUCCACACACGAGACCACCUCCGACCCGCACUAAGUUGGCCAACUGCACUCUGGAGGCGGCGGCAGCCAGCGAGGGAGAAGGGAAAGGCUGUCCCGGGACCCCGAGGAGGACUGCCCCGCCCCCGGGAACCGGGUGCGGCGUAAAACAACCCCGGCUCCGGGCCGACCCUUCCUGGCCCCUUGGAGGCCCAGGCGGGGCGGCGGGGGGCGACGCGGCAGGGGUCUCCGCGCCCAGGCUCCCGCGGAGCGGCCACACGUGGAGGUUCCCACUUUGGGGUCGCGGCCGCAGCAGCACCGGGCGGGAUGCUGUCCGCGCUGCCCGCGUACGGCCGCGGCCUGAGUGGAGACGCCUGCCCCCAGCCCCGAGGCCUCGGCCCCCGUCCGCCCUCUCUCCCUGCUCGGCGGCCUCGUACUCACGCUGACUUCAUGGCAGCAGGCUCCACGCCGCCCAAACGCGCAUGCGGGACGGCUGGCUGGCGAAGACUGCGGGACGUUAGGACCGGCAGCAAGAACUAGAACUUCGCGGCUAAGGCGCGGUGCUCUGCGAAGCCGGCGGCGACGCUAAGAGCCCAGGUGAGCUCCCGCCUGGCGCAUUUCAAACGGGCCAAUCAGCGCCCGUCCGCAGGGAGAGGCAGGACCUCCGCGGAAGUGACUUCGCUGCCGGAAGUGGCGCUUGUCUCCUAGGCGACCGACGCUGAAAGGGCCGCGGAGUCGCGUGUCAGGGCUGGAGGGAGAUCUUGAGGUCCUCCCAGUGACUGACCUGGCUCAUUCUCCGAAAGUGGUUGACAGGCCACUACGAGAGCUCUUGAGAGAAGCUUUGUGACAUGAAAUUCAUCAAAUGAAGCAAGAUUCAUUUUUAAAGAAUAAUACAAAGCUCCAGAGUAAUAUGCUUAAUCCAAAUGUUUAAAUAGAAUUUAAAACCACAUUUUAAGUAAAUUUAAAAUUAAUGAAAUAUCAAUAGUUUGCCUUAACAAGGACUUGCUUGAACCAUAUUCUCCUUUUAAAAUCACACACACAGAAUCAGUGUACAUUUAGAGAAAUUUCCCCAGCUGAAUAACAUUUUUGACAUGAAUUCAUUCAAAAGACACCAACCAUUAUGAAUAUUUUAGGCCAUGAUAAGCUGUAACCACCUCCGGCUUAUGGUGGUUAGGAUGUUGCAGCUUAAUGUUGACAUCUGGCAUGAAAAGCUUAUGGUCUGAGUCAUGUUUCUUUUUUAUGUAAUUCUGGCUUGGGAAUCCGAUACAGAGCAGCUGAGAAAUAAAUUAUGUUGCUGAGGCUGAAGAUGAUGCACAGAAGUAUGGCUCCAGCUAUCUGAGAGAAAGAGAAGGGCUUGGAGGUGGCCAGGAGCCAUUCCUUCCUCAGAGUCUUGUCCAGAAGUAUGGCUUCCAUCUGCAUGUGCGUGGCCAGGAUCACACACACGUGAAACAGCUGGUGACUGUGACCUAUGGCAAACACAAAAGGCCGUCAAGAUCAGCAAUGAAAAGGAAUGAGUACUGAUACAUGCUAUGGCAUUCAUGCUAAAAAUGAUGCUAAGUGAAAGAAACCAGACAGGAGACCACAUAUUAUAUAAAAUCUCCAGAAUAUGCAAAUCCAUAAAGACAGAGAGUAGAUUAGAGGCUGCCUCAAGCAGGGGGUGAGAAUAGGUAUUAACAGUGCAUGGGUCUGAUGGAGGGGAUGAAAAUGUUCUAAAACUGAUGUAUGGUGAAUUUACUGAAAAUAUCAUUAAAUUGUAUACUUGACAAAAAAAAAAAAAAAAAAAAAA